AUUGAACGCUGGCGGCAUGCCUUACACAUGCAAGUCGAGCGCGAAAGGGGGCAACCCCGAGUAGAGCGGCGGACGGGUGAGUAACACAUCGGAACGUGCCCAGUAGUGGGGGACAACCUCGAGAAAUCGAGGCUAAUACCGCAUACGACCCACGGGUGAAAGCGGGGGACCNCAAGGCCUCGCGCUAUUGGAGCGGCCGAUGUCCGAUUAGCUAGUUGGCGGGGUAANAGCCCACCAAGGCGACGAUCGGUAGCUGGUCUGAGAGGACGACCAGCCACACUGGGACUGAGACACGGCCCAGACUCCUACGGGAGGCAGCAGUGGGAAUUUUGGACAAUGGGGCAACCCUGAUCCAGCCAUGCCGCGUGCGGGAAGAAGGCCUUUGGGUUGUAAACCGCUUUCGGCCGGAACGAAA
rnacentral:rRNA from 1 species